AAGACUAUACUUUCAGAGAUCAUUUCUGUAUUUUUUGACUGGAAAAUUAGGAAGUGUUGCGUCAGUCUAAUCCCAAUGAUGAGUCAUGAUGUAUUCUUCUGAGUAUGAAUCAGGUUGCAGUUAGUGCUUUAUGCUUGUACUGAAAUCAAUGAUGAAUAUUCUCUGUUUCUUAUGAAGCUUGAGAUGGAGGGGAGAGUACAUGGUCAGAGUGAU